rnacentral:lncRNA from 1 species
UUUUCAUAAAUUUCUGAGUCUGAUUGUUAAGUUCAUUUUUCAUAAAGAGGGGUAUUUUGUUUUAGGCAAAGGUAUUUUUCAUAAAUUUCUGGGCAAAGGUAUUUUGUUCAUUUUUCAAUAAAAGGGUAUUUUUCGUAUAGAGUAUGCUUAAGUGUGCCUACUUUUGUUAAGCUACCAGAAGAAUUAUGCUUAAGUGUGCCUACUUUCGUAUGCUAAGCAUGAAGGCAAUUCUAGUUUCGUUGAGGUUGAAUGCAGCCAUAUCCUCUGUGUGUUCGUAAAUGGCAUAAGAAUAGAAGCCGGAAGAACCACGAAGCAUUAUGAACAUGAAGCAUGUAUCAUAAUAUAAGCACCAAUUCUUCAUUAUCAAACACAACAAUGAAUAUCAAGAUUAUAAACAGCAGCAGUACUGCAAUGAUGCACCUUUUGUCUAUGGGGAAGGGAGCGUGUUAGCCCUCAAAUGAGGGAUCCUAUGUCCUUUUGAAUGAGACUUCUAUUUGUUCCUCAUUUUCCACUAUAACUUUGUUUGUAAUGUGCUGUUAUUUUUAAGUUUGAAUGUGGGAUUUCAAAACUCAAUUGCAUUCAUGUGAGAUUAUUUGUUUCGUCAGCAGUUGUUGAGUAGAAUGAGAGGAAUGAAUUUCGGAGUUUGUCAUGACUAUAAAAGUAACACUCACUACUUCGAAAAAUGCCAAACAAAACGUGGAUGCCCUUCAUAUAAAAGCGGAUUUCGAAAAUGUUUUGAGGUAGAACGGGAUACUAGAAACAAAGGGCGCUUGUUCUUUACGUGUAAUAACGACUGUGGAUAUUUCGAUUGGGUGAAAAAUGAAGAUAUAAGCAGGGAGUCGAGUACCAUUAAUGAAGAGGUGAAGCAUGAGCCCAAUGAGGUAUACAAAGACUUGCCAAGAGUCUUAGAUAGCUGUAAUACCCCGAACUUC